AACUCAGACUCUCAAGGUAUUGCCCCAGCUCCCUGGACCUGCAGCAGAGACACAAACCAAGAAACCGAAAUCCCGGGAACAGACACGGACCACAAGCGCUUCCUCCCAUAGCCCUGAAACCAUCAGAGAAUCUCAAAGUUGGAAGAGCUCUUGAAGAUUUGAAUCUCUUCCCCAGCUUUGGAACUCAAAACACAUCACGCCGAAAGAUGCCCUAUCCAUCCAUGGAAGCCCGUCCUCUUUUUUCUCCUCCUCCUUUCCACACCUGUAUAGAGCCUAUCCAGUUGCGAAGGGCCUGCCUGUGCAUUCUCACGUCUGACCUGCCACUUGUCUUGUGUAGGAGGGUGUAGAGAAAGGCCUGGAGGAUUCACGAGGGGAAAUGAAGAAUAAGGUCCUUUAGGAGGUCAUAGACGUUGCUGUCAGAGGCGCCGUACACCAGGCUGUUGGCGAAGACACUCCUGAGGAACUGCACGGGCUCCAGCCACGACUGGAUGAGCAGCAGGGAGAUGCGGAGCAGCUCUAGGUUCU